GUUACCUACCCACUGUCUUCUUCCACAAUAGACUGGUCGGAGAAGGAAGGAAGAUAUGAGGCAGCGAUGAUGAUUGGUUGUACGGAAAGUUCAUCACUCUUCGUUUUAUAUUUGACUUCCCUAGCCAUGAUAAGCUUCUCGAAGGUUUCUAAUGGCAGAUCCAUUUAGUAACUGUUUUCUAUGUUGUUUUCUAUCUUGUUAGCAUCUUCAUCUAUAAUCAAAUCCCCAAUGUUCUGCAUCCAUACUUCUCUUCUCUUACCUCUUCUCAGUUUCUCUCAAUUUUACGAUUUUGUCCCAAAUUAGAUAUAGAAAGCUUAGAAGAUGAGCGACAAGACUUGUGAGUUCUCUCUAACACGUUCUCAUGCAUUUUCAAUCUGUAAAUCAACUUGAGUUUUUUUUUUCAACUUUGAAUUGUUCUAGAAUAUUUUGAAAUUUGUAUUCUGAUUAUAAUUUAUUUUCCAGAAAAGGCUCUAAUUAGAAAAUCAACUAAGUUCUUUCGAAAUUUGUAUUCUCCGACAUUUUCAUCAGUGUCUCGAAAUUUGAAUUAGAGGUCGUCAACUCUGCCACAGAUGGCAUCGGUGUGUAUGAAGCUCUGGCAUGAGUUUGUUAGACCUUUGAUUUUGCUGCCGGUGAUGGAAUCAGUCUACUGUAUUCGUUUUUGCAUUUAACUUUGUUCUUCGUGUUUACUUUUACUUUCUAAGGCAAAAUAUGAGUAGUAGCUUCUAAAUAAAGGAUUGGAUUUAAAUCAAGUCUUUAGUUUAACUAUCAGUAGGGUCAUUUGUGGAUUUUCUUCCAUGUUUUAUCCUCAUCUAUUUUAUUUUUUGGAAGUUAGUGUUUAAGUUGUUAAUUUAUACUUUACUUUUUUGAAAUUUUUGUGGAUUUUCUUUCAUACUCAACUGAUUCUAUGGCGCAAGUAAACAUUGCAAUGUCCAUACCCAUUGCUAAUGGGCGGUGUCUAUUUCUUUUUUUAACCGUGACAAGUUUCUCUUCUCGUUUCAGGAAGAACUCUCUCUUCCAUAAUGGCAUCACAAUCACAUAUUAUCCCAGUCACUAUUUCUCUCCAUUUCUCAUGAAAUAGGAGAAUAGCUGGAAGCUGACAGGGUCGAUACAUUGUUUAUAGUGGUGAGUUCGACAAUGCUCAAGGUUUUUACAUGUUUAAUAAGCUAACACCACUCAAGGUUUAAAGAUCAGAGGAAGUGGGGAUGGAUAGUCAGAGAGCGAGAAAUUGAAUAGGACGUUCGCCUGCACUAUGAUAAAUUUUUCUGACAACUUAUUACCUUACGCUGUCAAUAUUUGAUUAUUUUCUACAAAGUAAUAUGCAUCUUUAACUUUUAAAAAUUCAGUAUUUCCAUCUGUAUCAUUGACCAUACGGCUAAAAGGCAAUAUUCUCAUUCUAUAAUUAGUCUGGUCCAGAUUCAGUUGGGAUUUUUGUCAUCUCACAUAGUUACAGUGGAGUGGUAGCCCGAGCAUGUGGUCUUGCUAGUUUAGAACCAACAAAGAUUGCUGAGAUCCUCAAAGAUCGAACUGCUUGGUUUCAGGACUGCUGAAACGUCUAAGUUUUCACAAUGUUUUUUGUAGGAAAUGGUGGUACAAUUGAGCUUUUAUAUACACAAGUGAGUACCUUCUCUUUAAUCUUUAUGUAGGCUUUUGAUUGGAUUAGCUUCAGUACUAAGGGGAUCAAUUAAAUCAUUUAUUUCGGAUAUAUGCUCCUACCACUCUGCCUCCUGCAUAUGAUUUUCGGACGCUCAGAUACACAGCCACCCUAGACAAUGGUAGCAUUGUGGUAAACAAUCCUUCACAUUAGUGUGAGCGACCUGGGCACUUUUAUACUUAGUUCUGAUAUUCCACAUUUAACUAGUCUUUAAACAUCUCAAUCCUUGGAUUGAAUAGGAGUCUAGAAUGUAAUAUGUUUGGGUCAUAUUUAACUAAAUGCUGCAUUAUAAUUUCCAUAUACACCUUUAAGGAUCUCGCUACUUCAGUAUGACACUUUGCUCUAUUGUUUGUGAUUCUUAGUAGUGAAUUCUAUUAGUUGUGCCAUCUCAUAUAUGUUGCUGAUAUUUUCUUUUAAUAAAUAAGUGCAUAGCACACUUUUUUUGCAGCUAGUGAACCAUUUUCCUUCAUGGAUGCAAAUUAUCCAGUGAUAAUUGUUGACGAGGCAACCGUUGGUGUCUUGUAAUCGUAUUAUAUAAUUAGUUUCGAUAAUGUUAUUGCAUGAUUGGAUCGGGUCACAAUGAUUAGAGUGGAUGAUGUGUUUAACAAUUGAACCGGGUAGUAAGGAUAAUAUAAAUGUAUUCAUGGUGGAGUUGAAUACAUUGUAUGGCAUAACUAAGCUCUCCCAACCAAUGAUAUGCAAACAAUUUUAUAUUA